rnacentral:lncRNA from 1 species
AGUCAUAGAGUAAAAUAAUAGUUGAAAUACAUUAAGUAUUUACAUAUUUUAGAAAGCCUGCCACCCAGCACUAUAUGCCUUACUUAAAGUAAAAACAAACAAACAAACAAAAUCCCCACAAAAGUCAACUACUGAGUUCACAGGAUUUCUGAACCCAAAUAAACAUAUCACAUCCAUGAGAUGCCUUUUGUCAAGGAACUUGACUUCCUCAACAGACAGGAAACUGGAAAGUUGUCAAACCAUGGUUGAAAACCAAGCAUGAAAUAACACAGCAUAUGUCCCA